rnacentral:rRNA from 1 species
AUUCGAGUGGCGGACGGGUGAGUAACGCGUGAGCAAUCUGUCCCACAGAGGGGGAUAACAACUGGAAACAGUUGCUAAUACCGCAUAAGACCACACUGUCGCAUGACAGAGGGGUCAAAGGAGCAAUCCGCUGUGGGGUGAGCUCGCGUCCGAUUAGUUAGUUGGUGAGGUAACGGCCCACCAAGACAGCGAUCGGUAGCCGACCUGAGAGGGUGAUCGGCCACAUUGGGACUGAGACACGGCCCAGACUCCUACGGGAGGCAGCAGUGGGGAAUAUUGGGCAAUGGGCGAAAGCUUGACCCAGCAACGCCGCGUGAGGGAAGAAGGUUUUCGGAUUGUAAACCUCUGUCCUAAGGGACGAAGGAAGUGACGGUACCUUAGGAGGAAGCCCCGGCUAACUACGUGCCAGCAGCCGCGGUAAUACGUAGGGGGCGAGCGUUGUCCGGAAUGACUGGGCGUAAAGGGCGUGUAGGCGGCAGUAUAAGUCCGGAGUGAAAGUCCUGCUUUCAAGGUGGGAAUUGCUUUGGAGACUGUACAGCUUGAGUGCGGAAGAGGUAAGUGGAAUUCCCAGUGUAGCGGUGAAAUGCGUAGAGAUUGGGAGGAACACCAGUGGCGAAGGCGACUUACUGGGCCGUAACUGACGCUGAGGCGCGAAAGCGUGGGGAGCGAACAGGAUUAGAUACCCUGGUAGUCCACGCGGUAAACGAUGAAUGCUAGGUGUAGGGGGUAUCGACCCCUUCUGUGCCGGAGUAAACACAAUAAGCAUUCCGCCUGGGGAGUACGGCCGCAAGGUUGAAACUCAAAGGAAUUGACGGGGGCCCGCACAAGCAGCGGAGCAUGUGGUUUAAUUCGACGCAACGCGAAGAACCUUACCAGGUCUUGACAUCGAUCCAAAGCUACAGAGAUGUAGUGUGACUUCGGUCAGGAGAAGACAGGUGGUGCAUGGUUGUCGUCAGCUCGUGUCGUGAGAUGUUGGGUUAAGUCCCGCAACGAGCGCAACCCUUGUAUUUAGUUGCUACGCAAGAGCACUCUAGAUAGACUGCCGUGGACAACACGGAGGAAGGUGGGGAUGACGUCAAAUCAUCAUGCCCCUUAUGACCUGGGCUACACACGUACUACAAUGGCAAUCGAACAGAGGGAAGCAACUCAGCGAUGAGAAGCAGAGCCCGAAAAAUUGUCUCAGUUCGGAUUGCAGGCUGCAACCCGCCUGCAUGAAGUCGGAAUUGCUAGUAAUCGCAGGGCAGCAUGCCGCGGUGAAUACGUUCCCGGGC